GAACGCUAGCGGCAGGCUUAACACAUGCAAGUCGAGGGCAGCAUGGGACGGAGAUUCGUCGAAGUCCUGAUGGCGACCGGCGCGAAGGGUGCGUAACGCGUGAGCAACUUGCCCUUAUCAGGGGAUAACCGGUGGAAACGCCGACUAAUACCCCAUAGUAUCAACUUUAGGCAUCUUUAGUUGAUUAAAGAAUUUCGGAUAAGGAUAGGCUCGCGUGACAUUAGCUUGAUGGCGGGGUAACGGCCCACCAUGGCGACGAUGUCUAGGGGUUCUGAGAGGAAGGUCCCCCACACUGGAACUGAGACACGGUCCAGACUCCUACGGGAGGCAGCAGUGAGGAAUAUUGGUCAAUGGUCUGACGACUGAACCAGCCAUGCCGCGUGAAGGUCACGGCCCUAUGGGUCUUAAACUUCUUUUGUAAGGGAGCAAUAAGUCUCACGUGUGGGAUGACGAGAGUACCUUACGAAUAAGCAUCGGCUAACUCCGUG
rnacentral:rRNA from 1 species